rfam:Coprinopsis cinerea okayama7#130 chromosome 6 cont3.6, whole genome shotgun sequence.
GGUGAGAUGGCCGAGCGGUCUAAGGCGCCAGACUAAGGACCAGCGCGUUCUACGUGCACACCUCCAGCGUUCAAUUCCCACUCAGGUUCUGAACACAUUAUCUGGUCCGAAAGGGCGUGGGUUCGAAUCCCACUCUCAUCA